rnacentral:rRNA from 2 species
ACGGGUGAGGAAUACAUCGGAAUCUACUCUGUCGUGGGGGAUAACGUAGGGAAACUUACGCUAAUACCGCAUACGACCUACGGGUGAAAGCAGGGGAUCUUCGGACCUUGCGCGAUUGAAUGAGCCGAUGUCGGAUUAGCUAGUUGGCGGGGUAAAGGCCCACCAAGGCGACGAUCCGUAGCUGGUCUGAGAGGAUGAUCAGCCACACUGGAACUGAGACACGGUCCAGACUCCUACGGGAGGCAGCAGUGGGGAAUAUUGGACAAUGGGCGCAAGCCUGAUCCAGCCAUACCGCGUGGGUGAAGAAGGCCUUCGGGUUGUAAAGCCCUUUUGUUGGGAAAGAAAUCCAGCUGGCUAAUACCCGGUUGGGAUGACGGUACCCAAAGAAUAAGCACCGGCUAACUUCGUGCCAGCAGCCGCGGUAAUACGAAGGGUGCAAGCGUUACUCGGAAUUACUGGGCGUAAAGCGUGCGUAGGUGGUCGUUUAAGUCCGUUGUGAAAGCCCUGGGCUCAACCUGGGAACUGCAGUGGAUACUGGGCGACUAGAGUGUGGUAGAGGGUAGCGGAAUUCCUGGUGUA